rnacentral:rRNA from 1 species
AACGAACGCUGGCGGCGGGCCUAACACAUGCAAGUCGAGCGAAGCCUUCGGGCUUAGCGGCGGACGGGUGAGUAACGCGUGGGAACGUGCCCUUUGGUACGGAAUAGCCCCGGGAAACUGGGAGUAAUACCGUAUGUGCCCUUCGGGGGAAAGAUUUAUCGCCAAAGGAUCGGCCCGCGUUGGAUUAGGUAGUUGGUGGGGUAAUGGCCUACCAAGCCGACGAUCCAUAGCUGGUUUGAGAGGAUGAUCAGCCACACUGGGACUGAGACACGGCCCAGACUCCUACGGGAGGCAGCAGUGGGGAAUCUUAGACAAUGGGGGAAACCCUGAUCCAGCCAUGCCGCGUGAUCGAUGAAGGCCUUAGGGUUGUAAAGAUCUUUCAAUGGGGAAGAUAAUGACUGUACCCACAGAAGAAGCCCCGGCUAACUCCGUGCCAGCCGCCGCCGUAAUAC